rnacentral:lncRNA from 1 species
GUCAGGAAGGUCCAUGGGAACAACCCUAGCUCCUGACUUCUCCUGAACACCUGUGGAGUUUUGGCCCUGAGGGAAACAGGUUCCCUAUCUGCCCCAUGCUCAUGCUGAUGACUGCUGGUAUUUCUGCAGCGCGCUCACCCCGUGCCCGGCCAGCUCUCCGAGGAUGAGGGAGGCAGGAGGACAGGAGUUAGCUCCUCCAGCCAGGCCUGAUGUCACACUCCUGGCUUCUGAGAACUGCCAGAGAGCACUGCAGGUAUUUGGCGUUGGAGGUGCUCAGGCUUCACACCAUCCAUCCCAGCCCCCAAGAAAAGGGGUCACCAUGAGGCGGGGGACGGCUGGAACACCCCUCCCCACAGAGAAAAUGGCAGAGAGAUUCCAGCCUGGGACCAGGUGGGUGAAUGCGGGACCAGGUGGGUGGAUGUGGGACUGUGUGGGCACAGGGUGGGGUGAGGGGAGAGGCAGUUGGCAGCUCUGGGAUGAUGAUUCCCUGUUGUUGCAGACACCUUUCCCCACGAGCCAUCCAGGUGCUCCAUGGGCUGGAGCCACAUCAGACACGAAGGAACAUCUUCAUGUUUUUGGCUGAGAACAACCGACGGCGGCAGGAGCAGCAGAGGCAGUUCUUC